rnacentral:rRNA from 1 species
UACGUAGGGUGCAAGCGUUGUCCGGAAUUAUUGGGCGUAAAGAGCUCGUAGGCGGUUUGUCACGUCGGCUGUGAAAACCCGAGGCUCAACCUCGGGCCUGCAGUCGAUACGGGCAGACUAGAGUAUGGCAGGGGAGACUGGAAUUCCUGGUGUAGCGGUGAAAUGCGCAGAUAUCAGGAGGAACACCGGUGGCGAAGGCGGGUCUCUGGACCGAUACUGACGCUGAGGAGCGAAAGCGUGGGGAGCGAACAGG